rnacentral:lncRNA from 1 species
AUUAAGCCCCCCACUCUCGAGUCGAUGUGGGGGCCAUGUUGUGAUGGGUCUCAGAUCGUGUCGAGAGUAAAAAUUGUAGAAGUCGAUCGUUGGCGUAUGGCCUAAUGGUAUGCGAAAACGCGUUGGAGCGUGUGUCGGAGGGGCGUGAAUGCGCGUUGGCGCAUAACGCGACAAGGUUGUCGCGAUGUAAGUUAAUUGAGUCGUCGGUUUUGUCCCGCGACGAUGUAGUAGCGAAUUAUCUCCUCGUGGGAGUUGUCUUGUCGCGGGGUAAUAGUGUUGAUCGAGUUAUCUCCUCGUGGGAGUUGUCUCGCGAUAAUGUAGUAGCACGGAUCAAGUAUUCUCCUCGUGGGAGUUGUCUCUGGGGUAAUCGAGUUGAUCGAGUUACGUCUUAGUGGAAGUUGUCUCACGAUAAUGUAAUAGCACGGAGCUAGUAUUCUCCUCGUGGGAGUUGUUAUUUUUUGACAUUGUCAAUGUUUUGACGCGUUGCUUAUAUGUGUUUACAUAUAGCCUUGUGCGUGAUAUACUUGAGGAGGGGAUCAGACUCUCAAGGUUUUUUUUUUUUUUUAUGGGGGUCGUGCCCCUUGUUAGACCUCGUGGGUCUUAAGUAUGUUUGGA